rnacentral:rRNA from 1 species
GACGAACGCUGGCGGCGUGCUUAACACAUGCAAGUCGAACGAAGUGGCGAACGGGUGAGUAACGCGUAAUCAACCUGCCCUUCAGCGGGGGACAACAGUUGGAAACGACUGCUAAUACCGCAUACUUAAGGAGGGGCUUGCGUCUGAUUCGCUAGUUGGGGGGGUAACGGCCCACCAAGGCGAUGAUCUGUAGCCGGUCUGAGAGGGGGAACGGCCACAUUGGGAAUGAGGCACGGCCCAGACUCCUACGGGAGGCAGCAGGGGGGAAUCUUCCGCAAUGGACGAAAGUCUGACGGAGCAAAGCCGCGUGAGUGAUGACGGCCUUCGGGUUGUAAAGCUCUGUUAAUCGGGACGCGGUACCGGAAGAGAAAGCAACGGCUAACUACGUGCCAGCAGCCGCGGUAAUUC